rnacentral:rRNA from 1 species
CAGCGGCCCUAGUGGUGAUCGUUAUUAUUGGGCCUAAAGCGUCCGUAGCCGGUUCGGUAAAUCUCUGGGUAAAUCGUUGGGCUUAACUCAGCGAAUUCUGGGGAGACUGCCGAACUUGGGACCGGGAGAGGUCGGAGGUACUCCAGGGGUAGGGGUGAAAUCCUGUAAUCCUUGGGGGACCACCGGUGGCGAAAGCGUCCGACCAGAACGGGUCCGACGGUAAGGGACGAAGCCCUGGGUCGCGAACCGGAUUAGAUACCCGAGUAGUCC